GGUUAUGGCUCAGUGGUAGAGCACUUGCCUAGCAUGUGUGAAGCACUGGGUUCGAUCCUCAGCACCA
rnacentral:tRNA from 1 species